AAUAGAUACCCCGGUAGUCCACGCCGUAAACGAUGAGUGCUAAGUGUUAGAGGGUUUCCGCCCUUUAGUGCUGCAGCUAACGCAUUAAGCACUCCGCCUGGGGAGUACGGUCGCAAGACUGAAACUCAAAGGAAUUGACGGGGGCCCGCACAAGCGGUGGAGCAUGUGGUUUAAUUCGAAGCAACGCGAAGAACCUUACCAGGUCUUGACAUCCUCUGACAACUCUAGAGAUAGAGCGUUCCCCUUCGGGGGACAGAGUGACAGGUGGUGCAUGGUUGUCGUCAGCUCGUGUCGUGAGAUGUUGGGUUAAGUCCCGCAACGAGCGCAACUCUUGAUCUUAGUUGCCAGCAUUUAGUUGGGCACUCUAAGGUGACUGCCGGUGACAAACCGGAGGAAGGUGGGGAUGACGUCAAAUCAUCAUGCCCCUUAUGACCUGGGCUACACACGUGCUACAAUGGAUGGUACAAAGGGCUGCAAGACCGCGAGGUCAAGCCAAUCCCAUAAAACCAUUCUCAGUUCGGAUUGU
rnacentral:rRNA from 1 species